AAAUAUAUUAAAUUAUACACUAUUGUCAUCGGAAAGAAGUGAGAAAUGCAACCAGCGCAAAGAUAAACAAUAUGCAAUAUGCUCUCAAACACCCUGCAUAUGACCAUCAAGAACCUUCUUGAACUCCAAAACGAACAUGUACAAAUUCAAUUUUUAGUCGAGAAAGUCAUAAAAAUGUCGUAAAUUUCUAAGCUUCCAAUCAGCCAUUGGUAGAUGCUGCAUUUAGUUAGUGUGUAAGGGGUGACUUAUUUAUCACUUUAAAAUGAAUUAAUAUGACUGGUUUUCACACCCCUCAAAGUCACACUUCUGCUGACUAAUAUUUUCUCUUCUAAAAUCGUCAUCAAUCGAGCGACAAUUUUAUAUAUCUUUGUCAAUUUUCUAAUGAGUUUUAUAAUUUUUUCUAGUCUUAUCAAUAUGGCCAACUGAAAAACAAGUCGUCUUUGCUGUGAUAACUCUAAUAGGGCUUACCAAAGGCACAAGAGCAGUAUUUCAAUCAGUGGUCCUUUCACAAUAUGUACAUUUGGACAAAAUCGCGGCUGCCAAUGGAAUUAAUAUGUUUUUCACUGGAUUUAUUUCGCUUGUGAUCGGACCUUUAAUUGGUGUGAUACAUGAUAAAAUGGGCUCGAGUGUCUAUGCUUUACAUGCAGCAUCAAUUUUGUCCACAGCAUGCGUAAUAAUGUGGAUUGUCGAGUAUGUGUUUUGGGAAAGACGGAAAUCAGCAACCAUUGAAUCGUAAUAUUCAAUGUGCUUUCGAAUUCUAUACUGCUCAAAUAUGUCCUAGUCUAGACUAAUAUACACGCUCCUAAAAGUGAUAACAUUUUUGUUCAAUUCGAAUAGCUGUGGAUGUUUAUCUUUGGGACAGUUUAUUUGUACAUAAUAAGGCAAAAUAUAUUUUUAUAAGGCGUUUGUAUUUAUGUGAAUAUACUAUUAGGUGGUACUAUCCAUGUAACAUGUUUCUAACACCGCACGUGUUGGCGUUUUCGACUUGUUUAUAAUGUUUAUGUUGAAAAACUUGAAUAAAUGACAUUUGUUUUUGCAAAUAAU
rnacentral:lncRNA from 1 species